UGAAGGUGUUGUCGGUAAAUAUUGUUCCUACUCAGCUCGCCGACAACUUCCGGAAUAAGAAGCCUGAGGAAAAUUAUUGGUGCGCGUUGGUAUAUUAAAGGAUAUGAAGUAGAAUUCGAUUAUGGUUCCAGUCCCACAACUAUUGGUUUAGAGGUUAUUAAUAGGCCCACAACUCUUGUUGUGAAGAGAUUGAUCUUUGAGACAGUAACCUUGAGGUGGAAGUUGAAUCAUUCUCUUUCGGAGUAACA